AUUGAACGCUGGCGGCAUGCUUUACACAUGCAAGUCGAACGGCAGCGCGGGCUUUGCUUUGGCGGCGAGUGGCGCACGGGUGAGUAAUGCAUCGGAAACUGCCCUGUAGUGGGGGAUUGCCCUGCGAAAGCCGGAUUAAUACCGCCUACGACCUGCGGCUGAACGUGGGGGACCGAAAAGCCUUGCGCUAUUUGAGCGGCCGAUGUCGGAUUAGCUAGUUGGUGGGGUAAAGGCUUACCAAGGCGACGAUCCGUAGCUGGUCUGAGAGGACGACCAGCCACACUGGAACUGAAACACGGCCCAGACUCCUACGGGAGGCAGCAGUGGGGAAUUUUGGACAAUGGGAGCAACCCUGAUCCAGCCAAGCCGCGUGCGGGAAGAAGGCCUUCGGGUUGUAAACCGCAUUUGUUCGGGAAGAAAACCUCUGGGCUAAUAGCCCGGGGGGAUGACGGUACCGGAAGAAUAAGCACCGGCUAACUACGUG
rnacentral:rRNA from 1 species